GGGUUGUGAGGUUAAGCGACUAAGCGUACACGGUGGAUGCCUAGGCAGUCAGAGGCGAUGAAGGGCGUGCUAAUCUGCGAAAAGCGUCGGUAAGCUGAUAUGAAGCGUUAUAACCGACGAUACCCGAAUGGGGAAACCCAGUGCAAUACGUUGCACUAUCGUUAGAUGAAUACAUAGUCUAACGAGGCGAACCGGGGGAACUGAAACAUCUAAGUACCCCGAGGAAAAGAAAUCAACCGAGAUUCCCCCAGUAGCGGCGAGCGAACGGGGAGGAGCCCAGAGUCUGAAUCAGUUUGUGUGUUAGUGGAAGCGUCUGGAAAGUCGCACGGUACAGGGUGAUAGUCCCGUACACCAAAAUGCACAGGCUGUGAACUCGAUGAGUAGGGCGGGACACGUGACAUCCUGUCUGAAUAUGGGGGGACCAUCCUCCAAGGCUAAAUACUCCUGACUGACCGAUAGUGAACCAGUACCGUGAGGGAAAGGCGAAAAGAACCCCGGCGAGGGGAGUGAAAUAGAACCUGAAACCGUGUACGUACAAGCAGUGGGAGCACCUUCGUGGUGUGACUGCGUACCUUUUGUAUAAUGGGUCAGCGACUUAUAUUUUGUAGCAAGGUUAACCGAAUAGGGGAGCCGUAGGGAAACCGAGUCUUAACUGGGCGUCUAGUUGCAAGGUAUAGACCCGAAACCCGGUGAUCUAGCCAUGGGCAGGUUGAAGGUUGGGUAACACUAACUGGAGGACCGAACCGACUAAUGUUGAAAAAUUAGCGGAUGACUUGUGGCUGGGGGUGAAAGGCCAAUCAAACCGGGAGAUAGCUGGUUCUCCCCGAAAGCUAUUUAGGUAGCGCCUCGUGAACUCAUCUUCGGGGGUAGAGCACUGUUUCGGCUAGGGGGCCAUCCCGGCUUACCAAACCGAUGCAAACUCCGAAUACCGAAGAAUGUUAUCACGGGAGACACACGGCGGGUGCUAACGUCCGUCGUGAAGAGGGAAACAACCCAGACCGCCAGCUAAGGUCCCAAAGUCAUGGUUAAGUGGGAAACGAUGUGGGAAGGCACAGACAGCCAGGAUGUUGGCUUAGAAGCAGCCAUCAUUUAAAGAAAGCGUAAUAGCUCACUGGUCGAGUCGGCCUGCGCGGAAGAUGUAACGGGGCUAAACCAUGCACCGAAGCUGCGGCAGCGACACUUAGGUGUUGUUGGGUAGGGGAGCGUUCUGUAAGCCGUUGAAGGUGACCUGUGAGGGUUGCUGGAGGUAUCAGAAGUGCGAAUGCUGACAUAAGUAACGAUAAUGCGGGUGAAAAACCCGCACGCCGGAAGACCAAGGGUUCCUGUCCAACGUUAAUCGGGGCAGGGUGAGUCGACCCCUAAGGCGAGGCUGAAAAGCGUAGUCGAUGGGAAACAGGUUAAUAUUCCUGUACUUGGUGUUACUGCGAAGGGGGGACGGAGAAGGCUAGGCUGGCCGGGCGACGGUUGUCCCGGUUUAAGCGUGUAGGGGGAGUGACCAGGUAAAUCCGGUUGCUUAUCAACCCUGAGGCGUGAUGACGAUGCACUACGGUGCAGAAGCAGUUGAUGCCAUGCUUCCAGGAAAAGCCUCUAAGCAUCAGGUAACAUUAAAUCGUACCCCAAACCGACACAGGUGGUCAGGUAGAGAAUACUCAGGCGCUUGAGAGAACUCGGGUGAAGGAACUAGGCAAAAUGGUGCCGUAACUUCGGGAGAAGGCACGCUGGCGUUAGGUGAAAGGACUAGCUCCUGGAGCUGAAGCCAGUCGCAGAUACCAGCUGGCUGCAACUGUUUAAUAAAAACACAGCACUGUGCAAACACGAAAGUGGACGUAUACGGUGUGACGCCUGCCCGGUGCUGGAAGGUUAAUUGAUGGGGUCAGCCGCAAGGCGAAGCUCUUGAUCGAAGCCCCAGUAAACGGCGGCCGUAACUAUAACGGUCCUAAGGUAGCGAAAUUCCUUGUCGGGUAAGUUCCGACCUGCACGAAUGGCGUAAUGAUGGCCAGGCUGUCUCCACCCGAGACUCAGUGAAAUUGAACUCGCUGUGAAGAUGCAGUGUACCCGCGGCAAGACGGAAAGACCCCGUGAACCUUUACUAUAGCUUGACACUGAACAUUGAGCCUUGAUGUGUAGGAUAGGUGGGAGGCCUUGAAGUGUGGACGCCAGUCUGCAUGGAGCCAACCUUGAAAUACCACCCUUUAAUGUUUGAUGUUCUAACUCGGCCCCAUAAUCUGGGGUGAGGACAGUGUCUGGUGGGUAGUUUGACUGGGGCGGUCUCCUCCCAAAGAGUAACGGAGGAGCACGAAGGUUAGCUAAUCACGGUCGGACAUCGUGAGGUUAGUGCAAAGGCAUAAGCUAGCUUGACUGCGAGAGUGACGGCUCGAGCAGGUACGAAAGUAGGUCUUAGUGAUCCGGUGGUUCUGAAUGGAAGGGCCAUCGCUCAACGGAUAAAAGGUACUCCGGGGAUAACAGGCUGAUACCGCCCAAGAGUUCAUAUCGACGGCGGUGUUUGGCACCUCGAUGUCGGCUCAUCACAUCCUGGGGCUGAAGUAGGUCCCAAGGGUAUGGCUGUUCGCCAUUUAAAGUGGUACGCGAGCUGGGUUUAGAACGUCGUGAGACAGUUCGGUCCCUAUCUGCCGUGGGCGUUGGAAGAUUGAGAGGGGCUGCUCCUAGUACGAGAGGACCGGAGUGGACGAAUCACUGGUGUUCGGGUUGUCAUGCCAAUGGCAUUGCCCGGUAGCUAAAUUCGGAAGAGAUAACCGCUGAAAGCAUCUAAGCGGGAAACUUGCCUCGAGAUGAGUCUUCCCUGGGGCUUAAAGCCCCCUGAAGGAACGUUAAAGACUAUGACGUUGAUAGGCUGGGUGUGUAAGUGCAGCGAUGUAUUGAGCUAACCAGUACUAAUGAUCCGUGAGGCUUAACCUUACAACACCGAAGGUGUUU
rnacentral:rRNA from 1 species